rnacentral:rRNA from 1 species
GAUGAACGCUGGCGGCGUGCCUAAUACAUGCAAGUCGAGCGAACAGAUAAGGAGCUUGCUCCUUUGACGUUAGCGGCGGACGGGUGAGUUACACGUGGAUAACCUACCUAUAAGACUGGGAUAACUUCGGGAAACCGGAGCUAAUACCGGAUAACAUAUUGAACCGCAUGGUUCAAUAGUGAAAGGCGGCUUUGCUGUCACUUAUAGAUGGAUCCGCGCCGUAUUAGCUAGUUGGUAAGGUAACGGCUUACCAAGGCAACGAUACGUAGCCGACCUGAGAGGGUGAUCGGCCACACUGGACCUGAGACACGGUCCAGACUCCUACGGGAGGCAGCAGUAGGGAAUCUUCCGCAAUGGGCGAAAGCCUGACGGAGCAACGCCGCGUGAGUGAUGAAGGUCUUCGGAUCGUAAAACUCUGUUAUCAGGGAAGAACAAAUGUGUAAGUAACUGUGCACAUCUUGACGGUACCUGAUCAGAAAGCCACGGCUAACUACGU